rnacentral:misc_RNA from 1 species
AAGGAUCAUUAACAAAUCAAUUGGGCCUCGUGCUCAUUAACCUUUGUGAAUUGGGCUGUGACUAGCAUGCGAAUGCAAGUCCGGCUUCCUAGGGACUGAGGGCUUGUAAAAGAGUAGAUUUGCUGUAAAGUGUCUCUAUUCUCUUACACCAUUAUAAACGUAGUCUAAUACAAGUUUGUAAUCGAAAGAUUUCAGAUAAUUAAAUACAACUUUUAACAAUGGAUCUCUUGGCUCUU